AAUUAGCUGAAAUAAUUUAAUAAAAAAUUAAAAAUAAAAUUAUGUUGCAAUGUUGCAUAAAAGAGAGAAGAGUCGAAGGAGAAUAGAAGGCAAACUAAGCGGACGGAGGCGCGUCGGACCUGGAGGCGCGUCGGACCUGGAGGCGCGUCAGAGUUGGAGGUGCGUCGGAGCUGGAGGCGCGUCGAAGCUGGUGCGUCGGAGCUGGAGUUCGAAAUAGAGGACUGCGCGCACGAUCGCGGAGAAGAAAGAAACAAAAUCCGAGAGAGAGAGAGGAGAGGAGUGCGAGAACUGAAACCGCGAGAGGGAGAAGGGAGCAUUAGGGCAAAAAAAGCCCAUUUGAAAAGAUGGACUUACCAUUAAUGAAGGGUUUUUGCUGAAUUGCAAAAGGCAAAGGAAGAGAUUGAAAAUUUGAAAGAGGAAGCACUUGCCAACAAAACUCACAUGCUGCAGUAUAAGAGCAUCUCUGAGGCAAAUGAAGAUGCUCUGAAACAGAUAGAAAAGGCUCAUGAAAAUUUUAAAACCGAGGCUGACAAUGCAAAGAAAGUUCUAGAAUCUGAACUAAAUUCACUUAGACAGAAGAUGUUAGAGAUUGAAAAUGAAUCUUGUUUGAAAUAUGAAGAAGUUGCUUCAGAAACUGUG